AUAUUCCAUAUUACAUGUGUGAGAUGCAUUGGCAAACUCCAGCACAUCAAAAUAUGAAAAUAUAAAAUUUUCUCUACUCAAAGGAUAUAAUAAAUAAAAAUUUUUCAUUGUAUAGUUUUUCAAGAAAAAUAUUCUUCCGUACUCUAAACUUCUUUUUGCCAGAGUGCCUUAGAAAAUACUACGAAUGCGAAUAUGUAAGAGACGUAUGGAAUACCGUAACGCUCUCGUGCUAAUAUAACGAAUCAACCGGCGCUCAUGGUCACGAGGCCAAGGUUGUCAGUAUUCACUGACAGAAGGAAAGAGCGAUUCGCGGGCGUGCACACAUGCGUGCACACGCUCGCGUGUGCGAGAAAGUACGCACACGUGCAAAGUGUGCGCUCUUCUCGCAGUCGGCUCAGUACGCGUGCGACGACGCACACGCGUCCGCACGCUUAAACUUUCCGCGUGCACGUCUGCCGAGCGUCCGCGACGGCACUCAUGCGCGGAUAUGCAUGUUCAUUUCGCGCCGCCGGCAGUUGCAGGCCGAUGAGAUAAUACGGUUAUAUCUGUACAUACGUCAAGUUUCGUUCGCGUCUGAAUUAGAAGACUCGGUCGAUUGGCAAAUUAAUAGAUCACGGAAGUUGUACAAAGUCGCGCGAAUUGUUGGCUCUUAUUGUUGCCGGAAAAAGACCGGAAAAGGAGGGGAAAAAGGAAACAAUACUUCAAAUAUUUUUAACUACAUAUAAACAUUGUUAUACUUUUUGGAAAAAUAAAAAUAUGUUGAAUCACUUCUGUUAUUUUCAUUAUCUUCAAUAGAAUGAUUAGCUGUAUCUAAUUUUAAAAUCAAUUAAUAUUUUCUGCAUUUCUGCAUUUUUUUCAAAAAUACGACGAUUUAAAUGAAUCAUCCUUGAUUUACAUAUUCAAAUGUAUAUAAAAAUUUUAAAAAUAUAUUUAUCUUCAUUAAAAAGUUCCGUUUACAAAUUGGUAUACUUAACAAAAUGUAAUUGCUUCUAUUUAUAAAAUUAAUGACAUGUUAAUUAUAUCAUGUUACAUUAAUUACAUCAUAUUACACAAUUUGUCACGACUUUAACCGUUCAAUGGCUAAUGUAAUCUCUCUUGUCGCCGUUACUUUGUAGAUUUUUCAUGACGUCAACGCGAACAUACUACAAGUGAGAUAUAAUUAUUAUCUUUCCUAUAUUUACUAAUGUCUCAUUUAAUCUAAUGAUAUGCACAAAA